rnacentral:tRNA from 1 species
GCUUACUUAUUAUAUACUAGUAUAACUGACUUCCAAUCAGUAGGCCUGAAUCUCAGAGUAAGCA